UCGGGAAUUUUGGGCAAUGGGCGAAAGCCUGACCCAGCAACGCCGCGUGAGGGGUGAAGUAUUUCGGUAUGUAAACCUCGAAAGAAUGGGAAGAAUAAAUGACGGUACCAUUUAUAAGCUCCGGCUAACUACGUGCCAGCAGCCGCGGUCAUACGUAGGGUGCGAGCGUUAAUCGGAAUUACUGGGCGUAAAGGGUGCGCAGGCGGUCUUGCAAGUCAGAUGUGAAAGCCCCGGGCUUAACCUGGGAAUUGCGUUUGAAACUACAAGGCUAGAGUGCAGCAGAGGGGAGUGGAAUUCCAUGUGUAGCAGUGAAAUGCGUAGAGAUGUGGAAGAACACCGAUGGCGAAGGCAGCUCCCUGGGUUGACACUGACGCUCAUGCACGAAAGCGUGGGGAGCAAACA
rnacentral:rRNA from 1 species